AGACUUAACCUGAGAUCGGAGCC
rnacentral:rRNA from 1 species